rnacentral:lncRNA from 1 species
GAUUUGUCAACUGGGCUCGGGUCCAGGCUCACUUGCACCACCUGAGCCUAGGGUUCCCACUGGGGAACUCCUUCAGCAGGAAGGAAGGCAGGCUCCAAACAUGCUGUCUGGUUCAUUCAGGGCUCGGCAGGAGGUCAGAUGGCCUGAGGCCCAAAGAGCAGCCAUGGACAGAAGAUGUAUGAAUGAAUGAAAGAAUGAAUGGGCCUCAAGACAGGGAAGGAGCAAGGAAGCAGAAAUUCACCAGAGGCCCCUGCUUCUGAGCUCCAGCUCUCAUUCUAGGACCUGUCUGCUCCUCCAUUGCAACCUCUAAUGCUCCAUAAAUGGUUCAGGGUUUGGUGGCUGCAGCUCCCUCCUGUCUCAUGGCCCUUCCUUGGGAUGUCCUUGGGACCCCCUCACCCUCCAGUUUGAAACACACUCAUGGCAUUGUCUUCAAAGUUUCCACACUCUACUGGCAGCAUCCUCUGUGCUGAACUGAGGUCAGGCUUUCACACGGAGCUCAGAGGAAUACAGAAUAGUCCUGUCCUUCGUGUUCAAGCAAUGUCUUCCAGCAUGGGUCUUUUGAUUUUGGCUCUUGGGGCAAUGUUCCCGUGUGACUGUGGCUCCUGUGGUCACUUGGACAUGAAUUUUGAAUUCUGUUUCUUGUCUCCCCUGCCCCAAGGCUCCUUGGUAGCCUGUCCCUGUGGGUUCCUGUCUUAAUCAGGCCAGCCUGGUGUAGGUCUGAAGCACGCAGUCCCCUCUGGCUCCUCUCUGCAGGACAGAGAGUGGGGCGGAGGGACUCUGGGUUGGUUGGCUCUUUGACUCGACAAACACUGGCCUUGUCUUAUCGUAUCUGUGAUGCUGAAAGGGUAUCUGUCCCCUUUGCUGCCUUGAACAAAUGCGUCCUCCUGUCACUGCAGCCUUUGGAAGGUUCAUAUCCCAGGAGGGAGGCUAGCGUGGAGGAGGGAAGGAAAGACAGCUCCAUUUCAUUAGAAAGGGUCUUCCUUCCUUUUUCUUUUUCUUUUAAACUGUUUCCCAAGUGUCCUGAUUCAAACCCAGAAGAGACGGGAAGGUAUUUCCCUAUCAGAUCAGAUAAAAUGGGGAGAAAUGGAUCAGUAUGAUCGUUUUUCACUUGUUGGUGCCAAGUGUCUAUUUGAAAACUCCUUCUACACCCAGUCAGGACAUUACUCUUCCUUGCCUCCAUCCUGGGAAGGCAGUCCCUGGAGUGGGAGUUGACAAGGCAGUGGUUUCAUUGCAAGCCACUGCUGCAUCCACAUCCUGUCCACAUCCACGGAGAACUUCCUCCCCUCCCCCAUCUUCCUCUGCUUUCAUGGAUCCGGGUGGGGGCUUUGCUCAUUUCAGUCCAAGCCACUCUCCGUCCAAUCCACUGGGGGUGGGGGUGGUGAUGGGGCAAGAACAGGGUGCUGCCCCAGCCCUAAGACCUCUCCCAUCUCCAGGGACAACUGGUAGGCAAUGUCAGUGAGGUGACAAGUCCUGUAAUGCAGGGAAACUCAGGGGGACCCAGAGGAGGGGCACUGACCUUGCCUCUAAGGGUAGUUCAGAGGAGGGACAGCCUGAGCGGGAAGGAGCUUUGAGGGCGUUCAAGGUGAAGAAGGUGGUGAAGCACAGCAAGGUGUAUCUGUGUGAGCUGCUCUCAUCCCUGUUAAGGAGACAGCUUUCACCCUGUGGUGCUGCCUGUCUGGUGUGCUCUAAGGAGAGAUGGGCCUUUCCAGUUGGCUUCUCUGCUUUAUUUAUGAAGAACAAGAUGGGAAAGAGAGGCAGAAGUGGAGGGAGAGAGGAAAAAAAUGUGUGCAUAGGGAGGUAAUGACAGGAUUUGGCAUGGUUAGGGGGUAUCAGGGAACCAGGGAGAGAGUUGAGGGUCAGGAACUAUAAAGUCCCGAGCAGCUCCAGGGUUGGAGAGAAUGGGAGGAGAGCAGAAAGGGGAUAUUAGGAAACAUCAGAGCAGGGGCAGUUAUGAUUACAAACCUCUUAAGAGUCUGUGAGAGGUGCAAGUAAAGAUUUGAAUUCCUUCAAAAUCAGUUUUUGCUUGCAAGAGUUUUGCAGCAGGAGUUCAGUGUGGCUGCAGGAGAGGAUGAGCUGUGCAGUAAGGUGCAAGUGGAGGCUGGAAAGAACCCACACAUACAGGACCCGACGGGCCAUUUGAUCAGUCUGAGUUUCAGCAGGAAGGCAGUGGGGAGCCACUCACGGGUCAUGUGGGACAGUGAUGUGAGCCUUCAGGUCCAAGGCUCCUCUGGUUGCAGCAUGGAUAUUGGAUUAGAGCGAUGGGGCUGGAGACAGGAGGCCUGGGAGGAGACUGAGGCAACAUUCUGAUAGGAUAAGGAAUCCUGAUUUAUGACCCUGGGGAAGGGAGGUGAGAAUGGUCAAGGGAGAGACAGGGAGCUGAAUGGGCAGGAUGAUUGAGAGGAGGAGGGGGGAGAUGGAGAAGAAGAAGCUAGGGAUGCCGCCGGGUCUAGAUGGAUUAUCAAGAGGAUUAAACGAGGUCGGUCGGGUGCGGUGGCUCACGUCUGUAAUCCCAGCACUUUGAGAGGCCGAGGCGGGCGGAUCACUUGAGGCCAGGAGUUGGGGACCAGCAUGGUGAAGCCCUGUCUCUACUAAAAAUACAAAAAUUAGCCCGGCAUGGUGGCACAUGCCUAUAGUUCCAGCUACUUGGGCAGCUGAAGCAGGAGAAUCACUGGAACCUGGGGGAUGGAGGUUGAAGUGAGCCGAGAUCGUGCCAUUGCACUCCAGCAAAACUCUGUCUCCAGAAGAAAAAAAAAAAAGAAAGAAAAGAAAAGAAAAGAAAAAUGAGAACUACAUUUCCUAACUAGUAGAGAGUGGUGACUAACUAGAUGAGUGUGUGACUAAUUGUGGAGCUCUGUCCCCAUCACGAGGCAUGAGCUCCCCAAGGGCAGGGACUGUAUCUACCUUGUCCAUUGCCCUGUGCUCCACGUGAGGCAGGGGCUCAGUAAGUAUUUUUUUAAAAUUGGAAUUUCAUUAACUGUGUAUCGCAAGUUGGACAGAACUGACGUAUUUGUCAUAUUAAGUCUUUCCAUGCAGGAACUGGUAUGUUUUUCCACUUGUUGAGUUUUCAUGUAACCCUUCACAAGGUUUUAUGGUUCUCAUCAUAUAGCCCAGGUAUCUUUUCACUACAUUUAUUUCAAAAUAUUUUAAAGUUUUU